UCAGAACUGGUACGGACAAGGGGAAUCCGACUGUUUAAUUAAAACAAAGCAUUGCGAUGGUUGAGCUAGAACAGAAAUCUCGUGUGGAACAAAAGGGUAAAAGCUCGUUUGAUUCUUACGAACACGAUCCGACCGACGGUAAACAGUCGCAACGGUGUGCCUCGAAUGUCGCCUCCGGAAAACCGUUGCCCCCCGGGGGCAACCCGAGCCGGGAUGUGGCGGUUGACGGCGACGUUUGGAAGUCCCGAGACGCCGGCGGGGGCCUCGGGAAGAGUUAUCUUUUCUGCUUAACGGUGCCGACUUCCCUUGCCUAUAUUGUUCCAU
rnacentral:rRNA from 1 species